AAGUUCAAUAAUUCAACAGAGAAAGGAGGGCGGCGCCUGUGGAUGUGGAGGGAUGGGAUAGUGGGAAAGAGGGAGCGUUAACGGUACACAUCUGUCGCAGGUUUAGUCGCCAUGGUUACGCCGAUAGCCACCGCCGGUUCGCUGCAGGACUUUCUCCACAUUACGACAACCUUUCCAAAGGAGUCCCGACUCGUAGUUGACCAGGCCCCUGGGACCCGAAGAAGGUCGAGAGGAUCAACGAGGGAGAAAAAAAGCGUACUCAGCAAAUCCUCCAACACGGUUUCUCGCCCCUUUACAGAAUCUCCUUCCUGUUCCACCCGUUCCCGUGGGUUUCUUCUUGCCACCCCACCCCGUCCAGAUCCUUCCUGCGGCCCGCUUCCUCCCCUCCCUUCCUCCUUCACCUUCACAUCACAGGACAGUGACUGACAUCAGGGACACGAUUCAAACCGCCAACCUAGCAGUUCACUUCCUGCUUCAUUUGCUGUGAAAUAUCACAGAGUUAUAAAAGGUCUUCAAACACAGGCAGAAAUCUCCUCUUCUGGUCAGUUUUUAUUGGAGCGUUUGGUUUGUUUCAUAGGUUUUUUGUUUUUGAGCGUUUGUCCUGUGAAAGCCUCACGUCGACACGCACGUCUCCAUCACGAUUUGAACCUUGACAAAGGGAGAUUAGGACGUUCCCCGAAUGCGUGGCCCUGGUCUCGGGGGACAGACGUGUGAAAGCUGAUUGGAAAUAAUCAGGGAACCACUUUCUCAAAGGAACAGAGGAAAAAAAACACAACACGGCAAUAAAAGGAGAGAGAAACAGAAUGUGCUGUGGUGGCUUAAUAGAUAUUGUGCCGAACGUCUGCUUGCUUUUAUCGACUCAUGUUUGGGGUCACGUUUCAGUUCUCUCUUUUCGUUUUGUUUCUACAUUGGAAACGUCCGCUGACUAAACGGGUUUGUCUCCGUCGGCCUGGUGAUACUCAAACCCAGAUGGUCAUUGAAAUCAUGCCUUUCAAUUUUUAACAUAACCAUCUUAAUUGCAUGUAUUUAUUGAGUCUGGCUGAUUGGCGUCACGCGGCCACCGGAGGGCGCCGUGGAGACCCAAUGGUUGAGAACAGCGGCUCAAAAUCAACUUUCUAUUGACCUUUGGAAAGUUAAUAUACAGGGAUGUGAGUCAGGAAGUCACCUUUUUGGCCCCAGCUCUCUUAAAUGUUGAAUUAGAUUCUCUUGUCGUAAUCAAUACCACAACUACACAAACAAACAAGUUCUAUCUGGUAUUGUUUGGUAAGUUUAAGUUAUGUCUUGCUAAGUAAAAUGUACAUAAAUGAUAAAUUACAAUAAUGUGAGUAAAUGUUAAUUUGGUCCAAUUGGAAACAGGCUUCAGAUAGUGUGGUAAUUCUUUCAUAAAACGUUGUUAUCGUCAUCCUCCACUUAUGACAUCACUGCCGUCAUCUCUGCUGCCCGCCGCUCGCUGCAGAGCGGCCUGCGUGGAAGUUGUGCGUCACCUUUCAAAGCACCGGGCAAAACUGAACCGAGGCGAAAUAAAAGAGAAAGCUGGCAGAGGGUCAACAAGCACGAGGAAACAGUCGGAGCGGCGACGGCUAUAAAUAGACGCCUGACCCGUUCCUCAAUGAGGCCUCCAGGACCUCCGUGUUCAGAUGACCCACUUUCAUCUCUGCAAGUCACACACGCGCCACGCUGCUGCGUGCACGCAGUGACUGGGAGAGAGAAGUCACUUGUUUGCUUUUUACAGGGGAAGUUACGUGCAGCUGCUUCCCAGAAAGACACGCGUCGCCGCGCUAAUUGAUAGCGAGCGGAUGCCAGGAUGCGACUGAAGAGCACAACAAACACCGGCCUGCGUGUCACUAAUAAAACCGGCUGGCCCACUUUACCCAGCAGCCCGUCCUCUCCGACCUGUGAAACAGGCCUAACUCCCAAACGUAAAGCUCACGAGAACACGGGGCCGGUUGACGCCAGCUGAUCCGUCGGGCGUUACAGUGUUCUCGAGUGAUCCUACGGAGCCGUCGGUUCCAGUUAUUUCCGUGUAUAAUAUCUAUUGUAUGAAUGGACCAAAGCAGCUUAAAUGCUUCACCGUGUUCACCGGCUAGUAGCCAACUAGCCUCUUUCACACAGAGGAGCUGAUGUAGGUAAAGUCUGUCUGACGGUUGUGGUUUUUUGAAGCAAAUAACAGAAGCUAAUAUAUGUGGACUGAGGGGGGUGAAGAGGAACCAGAGACUGAGACCAUAAACUCAUGUUUACAAUGUUUACUGAGGGAAUAAAUCCAGAGAGAAGUAGAGUCAUUUCCUCAUAGACGUCUAUGGGAGCAGAGGAGUCGCCCCCUGCUGGUCACUACAGAGAAGUAGAGUCAUUUCCUCA
ensembl:lncRNA